AUAUGGGUAGAAUAUCAGGAAGCUACAACAUGUACACAACUCAGAUUGAAGUUAGACUGAAGUUAACUAAAGCAAAAAGCUCCAUCUCCAGUGGCCAUGGACAAACCAGUAUCCCUGAUUGACACGGCGUCCGAUGGGAAGCUGUGUGUCCAGCAGUCAGCGUUGCAGGUUCUGGAGCAGAUCCAGCAGCCCGUGGUGGUGGUGACUGUGGUGGGUCUCUACCGCACCGGGAAGUCCUAGCUGAUGAAUCGACUGGCAGGGAAACAAACAGGGUUUGCAUUGGGCAGCACAAUAGAGUCCAAGACGAAGGGCAUCUGUAUGUGGUGUUUGCCUCACCCCACUAAAGCAGGAACCACUCUGGUGCUGCUGGACACCGAGGGACUCGG